CAGUCGCCACGGUAAUACAGAGGGUGCGAGCGUUAAUCGGAUUUACUGGGCGUAAAGCGUGCGUAGGCGGCUUCUUAAGUCGGAUGUGAAAUCCCUUAGCUUAACUUAGGAAUUGCAUUCGAUACUGGGAAGCUAGAGUAUGGGAGAGGAUGGUAGAAUUCCAGGUGUAGCGGUGAAAUGCGUAGAGAUCUGGAGGAAUACCGAUGGCGAAGGCAGCCAUCUGGCCUAAUACUGACGCUGAGGUACGAAAGCAUGGGGAGCAAACAGGAUUAGAUACCCCAGUAGUCCCUGUCUCUUAUAC
rnacentral:rRNA from 1 species